UCACAGGGCCUGUGAGGGAGGUGCAGCCUCUUCCUGCACCACCCUGACAUGGUCACCAGGUUCCUUUCUUGUGUGAUCUUCUGUGUCCUAGGAGUAGAUGCUGGAGUCACCCAGACACAAAGGCAUGUGGUGACAGGAAAGAGGCAAACAAUAACUUUGAGCUGUAAGCCUAUGUCAGGCCACAACGCACUUUUCUGGUACAGGCAGUUCACGGGGCAAGGACUGAAACUGCUGAUUUACUUUAAUAACCAGCAGCCCAUAGAUGAUUCAGGGAUGCCCAAGGAGCGGUUCUCAGCUGAGAUGCUUAAUGGAUCCUUCUCCACCCUGAAGAUCCAGCAGACAGAACCCGAGGAUUCAGCCGUGUAUUUUUGCGCCAGCAGCUUAGCCACAGUGCUGCAGGAUCAAGCCCUGGCUGUGCAGAAACCCUCGUACUUCCCCCUUUCCGUCCAUCUCCUUGAGUUCUCAGAAGUUGUUUUAGGCUCCUCCCAUCACAGGAAGAACAUGGGUUUGGUGUUCUAUCUAUUUGGAGGCAAGGAAGAAGCAGACCACAAAAAAGUAUAACAACAGAAACUCUUGGGGGUAAGACUUUCUCCCAAGAGUGACUGAGUCCCAGACUGAGGGUAGUUACCUCUCCCUUUUACUUUCUGUUAUGGCUUCUACACUAUUUCUUGCGUCU